GACAGAGGAUGCAAGCGUUAUCCGGAAUGAUUGGGCGUAAAGCGUCUGUAGGUGGCUUUUUAAGUCUGCCGUCAAAUCCCAGGGCUUAACCCUGGACAGGCGGUGGAAACUACCAAGCUGGAGUACGGUAGGGGCAGGGGGAAUUUCCGGUGGAGCGGUGAAAUGCGUAGAGAUCGGAAAGAACACCAACGGCGAAAGCACUCUGCUGGGCCGACACUGACGCUGAGAGACGAAAGCUAGGGGAGCGAAUGGG
rnacentral:rRNA from 1 species